GGGGGUGCACCUCACUCCUCUCCGAGUCCGGCAGCUGCACUGUUCCUGAAAGGAAAACUAGCCGUCGAGAAGUCACUUACGGAACAGGUGGGAAAUAAUUGCAGCCAGGCUGGACUCCGUGUGCACGUUGGUGUAUGUGAACAAAGCAGGCCUAUCUGCAGAUAUGAGCCUCACAAUCAGGACAAGCCCAUCUGUUUUCCAGGAACAGCAGCAUACAUCUGUGACUAAGUCUGUUGCAUAUCUAUGAAAAUGAGCAAUGUGUAAAUUAAUUUUCCCAUCUGCCCCAGAAAUAAUCAUCAUCUGAUCUGUUGUUCUAUUGAUGUUUUCAUGUUGGCCAAUGACAUCACAUAUCAUAAAGUACAUGUUUUGCAUACCAGCAGUCGUAUCACAGAUAUGAGACAGCUUUAGUGUAGGUGAUUUAAGGGUAAUGUCACAUGACAUGUUUGGCUAUAAUGUGCAUAAUGCGAUCCAGCAAGCAAAAUAUUUACAGUAGUGAGAAUGUUUUAAAAUGUUUAGAAGUUGCCUAUGCUUACUUUACCUUUACCAGUGUAAUUUGUAGCUUAAAGCAAUAAGCUAUUUUAGGUUCUUGGAAAAGUCUUUACAGUAUAACAACAACUUCCUGAUUUCCAAAACAAAAAGUGUCACAGACAGUAUAAACCUUUUUAUGGUUUUCAGCCCCAUUACUGCAUAGCUAUCAGAAAUCAGAUGAAUAAAAAUCAGGUAACACAUUAUUAUUUACUUAACUAUUUUGUCAACUAUUUGCUGCAAGUUAGAUCAAUUUUUUUUCUGAAUCCAGCAUUAUUUAAAAAAAAAAAAAAGAAGUUUGGUUCUCUAGAAUAAGACAACACUAAGAAAAUAUGAAAAGACCAACUGCUGGUUGGAUCUAUUUAUAAAAAAUAAAUAGGAUUUUACCACCUAUUUAUACAUUCGCAAACUCCAGAAUUAUUUUGAGGCAACUGUUAAACUAGGUGUUAUUGUUGACAUAUUUCACAGCAGUUGGCAUUUGAAUUAUAGCUGUAGUAAUUUUCUUCUGUUGACUCGUGGAGCUGCACAACCUGGAACAGGGACAAUUUGAAAAAUGUACAAUAUUUGAAUUAAUCUCAGCUUAUAAAAGUAAGCAAGGACACAAAAUCAACAGAACACAGUGGUUCUUAGCGUUUUUCUAACCUAAAGUUUCAGACUUGUGAAGUUUGUAAAGUCACAACAGAAUUAAAGGUCUUCACAGAUCAACAUUAGGGUAAAUGGAGUCAAGUGGACAAGGAACUUUAAAAAGUUUGUCCUAAUAAAAUGCUUUUUGGACUCCUAAUGUCACUGCAGUCUGUUCCUACUGCAGCAGUUUGUUGUUUAGACUGACAGAAGCAUGUGUAUCUGGACCUCUGUGCUUUUAUCUCAUGUACUAUAUUACACCAGCACUGGCUCUGAGCUGCUGCUAUCCAUCCUUCAGCAAAGAAAGGUUUAUGAAAUGGAUGUGUAGGGUGGAGACCAAACAUUUCAUCGUGGCACAUCCACUGACCUUGUUUGUCCUCUGAUCGAUACACUCUUAAGGCAUAAAUACACAGUGUUACCUUGGGCUGUGAUACCUGCGGCAGAACUGCAGGUUGUCAAAAUCUGACAAAAAACUCUGUUGGGAAAGUUGGGGGAAAAGAAUGCAAAAAGUUCCUUGGUAACAUUAAAGAUCAGUGAAUGGACAAAUAAAGAGUCAACAGGGACAGCAUUUCUAAUUGCGCCAUUUAUUAGUUGUACAAUUAUGAAAAAUAAUCAUAAAAAAAGACUGGAAGCCCAAGAUUAUUUACAAUCUUUUUUUCUGAAGUGAGGUCCCUCUUCUGAGUCAUUGUUUUCUCAGCCUUUUAUUUUUUUUAAAAUCACAGGGUAUUUAUUCACGAUAUGUUUAACUUUAUAAGACAUAGUCCUUUUCUCUCUUUUGACAAACGUCAAAAAUUAACAUACGUACAUACAUACAUAUACAUAUAUAUAGAUAUCUAUAAAAGCAAAAAUCAUUCAAGUAUCAAAAUACAGACCGCUAGAUUCAUGUACAAUAUCAUUCUCAUCAUUGUUGUCAUCAGAUUAGUCCCAAAAUAUCUCUCCUGAUCCAUAGCAAUGUGCAAAAGCAGAACGGGACCAGGCUGAUGGCUGAAGGUGCCGACGCCAGCGAGCUGAAGACAGUGUACCAUAGAGUUAUCGUACUGGCCUGACAACGUACCACAUAUACAACGGUUAAAUCAAAACGACCUGACUAUGUACCCAUAUACACAUCGGCUGACCAAGAAGUACCAUUAACAGUCAACAUACUGGGAGUUAGCUAGGAGAAUCAUGCUAUGUCCUAUUGUUCUGUUCUGCAGCUAAAAUCUAAAGACGUACCAGCCUGCAUGGCAGGUUUGGUGUAUAAUCUUGCCUAUAUUAACUGAACAAAGGAGCAGGGAAGGAGAGAGAGAACUGCAGUGAACCACACCUGAUCCAGUUCCAGCAUUAGGACACAUAUUUGCCCUACAAUUAAAACAUAGAAGAAGAAAAAAAAAAAGAGAACACUUU